rnacentral:rRNA from 1 species
CCUACGGGUGGCAGCAGUGGGGAAUAUUGCACAAUGGGGGAAACCCUGAUGCAGCAACGCCGCGUGAGUGAAGAAGAAUUUCGGUAUGUAAAGCUCUAUCAGCAGGGAAGAAGAUGACGGUACCUGAGUAAGAAGCCACGGCGAACGACGUGCCAGCAGCAGCGGUAAUACGGAGGGGGCAAGCGUGAUCCGGAUUUACUGGGUGUAAAGGGAGCGCAGACGGCAGUGCAAGUCUGGAGUGAAAGCCCGGGGCCCAACCCCGGAACUGCUCUGGAAACUGUGCGGCUAGAGUACUGGAGGGGCAGGCGGACUUCCUAUUGUAGCGGUGACAUGCGUAGAUAUUAGGAGGACCACCCGUGGCGACGGCGGCCUGCUGGACAGUACCUGCCGUUGCGGCUCG